UCGGUUUUCCCUGGGCUCAAUAGGGUAUAGGACCUAGCUGGGCCUCGGAAGAUAGAGUUGUGCAAACCUGUGAGUCCCGAUGUGACUGGGCUAAAGUUUAACUAUCUAUAAUAUUUACACUUGGUUUUGUUAAAGUUCCAUGUCUUUGGAAAAUGGAUGGAUAAGGGGAUAUUGAUAUGGAAAUAUUUAAGCUUUUGAAAUUACAGCAUGCAUCAUGAAUUUUGAUGAGGUUUUUACACUGGAAAUGUGGAUUGGAUAAAUAAUUGGUAUUCCUAGAUCGGACUAUGCAAAGCUCUUGGUUAGGAACCAAAGCCAUGGGGGGCUAGGAUUGAGCAAAGCUCUCGGCCCAAGAUUCUUUAGUCAAAAGUAGGCUAUUGGAAUGGUAUACUCCAAUACCUAAGAUAAGAGUCCGGAUGUCCUACUAGGUGUACUUAUAACCUAGUUAAGCAAUAAUUGGUGAUCGGUUUUCGGUGAAAGACCGAUAAAGGAUCAUGGCAAGGCUAAAGAACGGUUGACUAUUUGAUGUUAUUAUUAUUAUUAUAUCCUUGGUGACUGGUGAUAUUUGAAAUGUAAUAUGUUACUUAAUAAUUACCUUGGAUUUGAGCAUACGUUGAUAAAAAUAUUAUAUCAUUGCUUGCAUGAGCAUGAUUGAUGGAUUGUCACAUCCAGUUUAUUCCUUUUGUCUUCGAAUUCUACUUCUAAUUCCUUUCCGACAUAGGUCAUUAGCUUUCUAUAUUCUACUGGGCAUUUGGCUCACCCUAUUCUCUUUCCUUAUUCCUUGUUUACCUUUGUUUUCAAGUGAGCAGGUUGAGGAACACUUGUCGGGCGCAUUAUGCGGGCGUAGUCCAUUUUGUUCUAUUUGCACUUUGAAUUUUUAGUAGAUCUACUUGUUUACUAGGAUAUUGGUUAAUUAAGCUCUUAAACAUAUUAGGAUUGUUACCACGUUGGCAUGGUAUUCUUCGAUAUGUUUUAGAUUAUGUUUUAUGUUAUUUAGGUGUUUAGACACCAGAUGAGAUUUUCCUAUAUUUGAAUGUCCGGAUGCAUGAGGUGCAUGGAUUAGACAUGUUGCAUGGUUUGCGUCUUUAAUUAUGUUUUGAGAAAUCUUUUGGGCCACUUUUGGCAAUUUUUCAUGAUAGGGAUUGGUUCGAUAGGUUGGUGCCAUUGCUAUGCAAUAUUGCGCCACGUCCGUCUUUUUGAUCCAGGUGCAUUUUUGUCAUUUCCUCACGUUUCGUUUUCCUAUGGAAAUCGGGGCGUGACAGUGACACCAUCUUCUAAAGGUGUUACUAAUAGGUCUGGAUCCUCUAAAGCUGUCCAAGAAGCAAAAAGAGAAGCUGAGAGUGCACGAAGAGCAGCUGAAGAGGCAAUAAAGAGCUUGAGGACUAUAAGAGGAUGUCUAAUGAAAGAGCAAGAAAAACGGAGGAAGAUGAGGCUAUGCUUACACAAACUUUGAGGAGAUUUACAUAAGGGGGCAAUGAUGGUAACAUUUAAGAUGCUCGAUACUCAAUUGGCUACAAGGAAGGCUAAAGGUCAAGCUCUCAUGGGAUGCUCAUGCAUUUUGGAUGACCAAGCUUUAUGUUUUUUUUUAAAAAAUAUUUUGAACUUGAGUUUUCAGCAUGGGAUGCUUAUGUAUAAAUUAACUACCUAUGUUGAUCUCUAUGACCUAAUUUAGAUUCGUAAUGCCUACUAGACUUGGGAUA